rnacentral:rRNA from 1 species
UACGAAGGGGGCUAGCGUUGCUCGGAAUCACUGGGCGUAAGGGCACGUUGGCGGCUUUUUAAGUCCGGGGUGAAAUCCUGGAGCUCAACUCCAGAACUGCCUUUGAUACUGGGAAGCUUGAGUCCGGAAGAGGUGAGUGGAACUCCGAGUGUAGAGGUGAAAUUCGUAGAUAUUCGGAAGAACACCAGUGGCGAAGGCGGCUCACUGGUCCGGUACUGACGCUGAGGUGCGAAAGCGUGGGGAGCAAACAGG